GACGGAGGAGGCUAGCGUUGUUCGGAAUUACUGGGCGUAAAGCGCGCGCGGGCGGUCUAGCAAGUCAGGGGUGAAAGCCCGAGGCUCAACUUCGGAACGGCCCUUGAGACUGUUGGACUGGAGACCGGGAGAGGAGAGUGGAAUUCCCAGUGUAGAGGUGAAAUUCGUAGAUAUUGGGAAGAACACCAGUGGCGAAGGCGGCUCUCUGGCCCGGACCUGACGCUGAGGCGCGAAAGCGUGGGGAGCAAACAGG
rnacentral:rRNA from 1 species